AUCACCUGCUAAUCAGCUGACGUUUUGGCAUGAUUAUCAGCUGAUUAUCAGUUGAUUGCCAUCUGAUUUUUUUCAGUAGGGCAGAAAGUCAGCCUAAAGAUUCAUAUGAAAAUAAAUCAUCAUCACCAACUUUUGCAGUAGUAACAUAUCCAUGUGGUACAUUGUACAGUUAGUGAAUGAUGAGGAAAUGCAUAUAAUUCCGGGAUUUUGGAUGAAAGACGACAAAACUAGCACUGCGUGGCCCCCUUAUAGUUGUUCGUUUGAAGAUGUGCAAACAUCUACUCAGGAUAGAGAAAAGCCAAAGAGUGACUGGACCAAUCGUAAUAUUGCAAAAAUAUUGAAAAAGUCAGUAACUUACAAUUCUUCCUCGAAUUGGAUCAAGGAGCAGAAAAACCAUCAGGAACAGAAGAGCGAAUUCAAAAGUCCUGAUUCCAAUCAUGACCAUGGCAUAAGGGAAAAUAUACCCCCUACACAUAAGUUUGUUGAAAUGGAAAGGAGCUCAAUGGAAGCUGACAACGAAGAUCCUUUUAUUAUAGUUAUUAUAAGGAAUAGUGAUGUAGAAUACCCAGCAAUAGUUCCAAAGUCUUGGAUAUGUGAUCAGGGUAAAACAGUAAAAUGGCCUCCGAAGUUCUCAAACCCCAAUAUAAUUGCAUAAAAACAAACUCCUAAAGAAGAUUGGUUUCAAUGCAACUUGAAAGAUGUUUAUUGGACUACGGAUACGUUUGAUUAUGACGAGGCCAUUCAAAAAGUUAAAAUAGCAGAAAAUUUGUCUGGCGCAGAAAAUGUUGAGGAAGCAUUCAGAGAACAGCAAAACCCUAGAACAAGAAGGAAUAGAGCUGUAAAAAUAUGUGAAAGUAGUGAGGAUAAAAUAAAUAGUAAAAGAAGAAAACUAAAGAAAGUAAUAGGAAAUAAUAAAAAAGAUAAUUUUGGUAAUAAUAACAUCGCUGCAUGAGCUGUCUCCAUUGUUAAUAACCUCGCCGAAAUCCGUAGUAAAUAGUCAAGAUAGUCAGGGCUUCAACAAAAUCAUACCGUCGGGUAUUCAAAACCAAACGGAAACUAUCAAUGAACCUUUUGAGAAAGAAGAUUCUGUUUUGAUCAACUCAAAAGAAGAAAAAGAAGAAGACGAAGAAGUAGAUAAUAGGUACGUGUACAAUAAAAAAAGUUGUUGUAAAUACUUUCGAAAAAAAAGAAAAAUAUUGAAAAUGAAAUGAACUUAAAUAAUAGCAAAGCAAAGCCUGCAAUAAAAUGUAUAGAUAACAUUACAAAUCAAAAAAAUCUCCCUUUCAGUUCAAUCGCCAAUUUUUUAAUUGCAAAACGUACUUGUAGUUCAGGCAAAAACUCUUUAUCAAAGACUUCAUCUUUUAAUUUAAAUACAAAAGUAAAUCAUGGAUACAUUGUCAACGAACAACUUGGCGAUAAACAUUCAGAGGUUUUAAAAAGUGAUCCUUCUGGGGGUCCAAAUGAUGAAGAUGCAUUGAAUGUUGAGGAUUUGAAUGAAAUUUUAGGAGAUUCAAAGGAUGAACAUUCAAAUGAUUCGAGAAUUAAUGAUGAUUCAAGGUUCAAGCCUCCUAGAAUUGAUGAACAUCCUGAGGCUUCAAGAAAACGAAAACUUACAGGGUGUUCAGAGGGUUUGAGUACCAAUAAACGUACAGGGGGUUCGAGAACGAAAGAACGUUCAGAAAGUUCAAGAACUGAGUCCACAGCACUAAAAAUUAAUGAGAGUAAUUUUAAGCCUGAAGAAUUUAUUAAUUUACCUAUGGAUAAUAAAUUAAAUGUGAUUGGAAUUAAGUAGAUACUGAUUUUAUUCAUGAUACGCAAAACAUUAUUGGAUAAUUUAUAAAAUUAUCAGUGCAACAGCAUCAGAUAAUUUCUAAUCAAGCUAUCUGUACGACUUCAAACGUCCUGUAAUAGUUGUAACAAUAAUGCUGCUCGUGGAGAUAUCAAUAUGAACGAUACAUUAUUAAUCAGAAGUCAUUUACCAAUAGAAGACCCAGACGUCUUUGAUAACUUUGACAAUGAUUUGCAAUCAAAUGCGACAUUUAGAAAAAUUGAGAGUAUUAUGUUGACAUUUGUAAACGUGAUAUUUUGACUAAAUUCAAUUGGAAUCACUUGCAAGCAUAUACCAAUAAAAACGACUGGAAAAAAACAGUGUGUGACAUUAUGACCAAUGUGGUGACCGAUAUUGUGCAAGAUUUUUAUAGCUUUACAGGACGAACAGGAAAAAAACCGUUUAAUCAGACUCUCCUAUACUCCAUGAUUGAAAUUGCGACAACAAGAAUUGUAAAUAAAAAUUGUCGACCAACAAUAAGUGAACUACAAACAUAUGUGAGCAACCAUUUGAAACAAGCCAAAAAACGAGCUGGUGGUUAUGAAAACAAACGUGGAGAUGGAUCAAAAAAAGGAAAAGCCAAGUCAUCAAACCGACAAAAGAAAAAUGCUAAAAAAGAAGAUUUAAAGAAACUAGUAUUAUCUUUAUUACCGGAUGGUUCAAACAGUGAUGCAAAUGAUUCCGUUUAAUGCGAAAUAAUGACUUCAAAAAUAUGUUUAAUAACAUUAGAUUUAAUAGUUAACUUAGUUUUAACUUAAGUUUAUUUCACUGCUGGUAAAAUGCAAAACCUUUUCCAUGGUUCUCUAUAAUUAAUUACUUAACUUCUUUAUAUUGUCAAAAAAAAUUAUUGUAGUUUAUUUUUAAUAACAAGCUAAGUAAUUAUAAUGUAUUGCGAGAGCGAUUAAAUUAGUAAAUAAGUAUUACUGUUGUACUAUAGAAAAUUGCAUGUAUCUAGUGAUACAAUAAAGUAAUUACAUGUAGAAUAUUUAAAAAAUAAAUAUUUAUCUUCAUUA